rnacentral:tRNA from 1 species
GCAUUUGUGGUCCAGCGGUAGGAUUCUCACCUUACGUGUGGGAGACCCAGGUUCGAUUCCCAGCCAAUGCA